CUCCCUCGUUGCUGAUCUCAGGUUCGAUAAUGCCAAAUCGCACCACCUCGCCUAAAAACCAUCUUCGAUGAAGCGACGGGCGGUGUGUG
rnacentral:rRNA from 1 species